UACAGAGGGGGCAAGCGUUGUUCGGAAUUACUGGGCGUAAAGGGCGCGUAGGCGGCCUUCUAAGUCGAACGUGAAAUCCCCGGGCUCAACCCGGGAACUGCGUCCGAUACUGGGGGGCUUGAAUCCGGGAGAGGGAUGUGGAAUUCCAGGUGUAGCGGUGAAAUGCGUAGAUAUCUGGAGGAACACCGGUGGCGAAGGCGGCAUCCUGGACCGGUAUUGACGCUGAGGCGCGAAAGCCAGGGGAGCAAACGGG
rnacentral:rRNA from 1 species